rnacentral:rRNA from 1 species
GACGAACGCUGGCGGCGUGCUUAACACAUGCAAGUCGAACGGUGAAGGGACCGGUUUUUGCUGGUUCUGGAUGAGUGGCGAACGGGUGAGUAACACGUGAGUAACCUGCCCCCUUCUUCUGGAUAACCGCAUGAAAGUGUGGCUAAUACGGGAUAUUCUGCGCCUGCUGCAUGGUGGGUGUGGGAAAGAUAUUGUUUCGGUGGGGGCUGGGCUCGCGGCCUAUCAGCUUGUUGGUGGGGUGAUGGCCUACCAAGGCGGUGACGGGUAGCCGGCCUGAGAGGGUGGACGGUCACACAGGGAAUGAGACACGGGCCAGACUCCGACGGGAGGCAGCAGUGGGGAAUAUUGCACAAUGGGCGGAAGCCUGAUGCAGCGACGCCGCGUGAGGGAUGGAGGCCUUCGGGUUGUAAACCUCUUUCGCCAGUGAAGCAGGCCUGUCCCUUUUGUGGGUGGGUUGACGGUAGCUGGAGAAGAAGCGCCGGCUAACUACGUG